rnacentral:misc_RNA from 1 species
CAUCUCAUUGCAAAAGCCACGAAUGACAACCGUAAAAGCAAACAAAUCUAUUGGAAUCUUUGCAGUUAUCCAUGCUUGAAGGACUUCAAAACCCAAAUCUGACCUCCCAUGCAAACAGAGACCUUCAAUAUAAGUUGUGUAAGCAAAAGCAUUCGGAGUCACCCUGCAUUCCUCCAUCUCUCGAAAAACGUCAACAGCUUCAUCUAAACUACCCUUUCUACAAAAUGCUUUAAUAGCGAUGGUAUAGGUGUAGUCAUUAGGACUUAGGCCAAAGGCCUUCAUCUGCCGAUAAAUGUUCACAGCCACAUCGAUUUUCCCACGCUCAAUCAACUGGUUCAGGAGAAAAUUACAUGACAAUAUAUGUGGAACAAAUCCACGGCAUUUUGUUUGGAAAAGCACAUCAAUAGCCUCAUCAAACAUUCCAACAGUAACAUAAACCUUAACUAAAGCAUCAGACACCCUAACAAGUAUAUUGGAACAUUCGCUUUCAAACCCUUCUGCCAGAGCUUCAAACAAAUUCAUAAUUUUAAAAUCCAAGUCUCUCUCUUUCCUAAUAAGCUCCAAUAAUAAGGAAUCCAAUUUCCUAUCCCAGCCCCAAUAGCACAAGAUUCUAACAAUAGCAGCAUAUGCAUGAGGAUCAAGACAAAAUCCAUUUUCCUUUAGUUGGUUAAAGAAUGAGAAAGCAAGGACAGGGUCUUUCCUCAAAUAUUUCAAAGUUUCAACUACUUUUACCUUAUCUUUUUCAACGAAAUGAUUAGUCACAAGAUUUUUUUCAUGGGUAUCUAUGGUUUGCAGUUCUUCAAUGGGGUUUGACAACGCAAAAUUCAAGUGAGCAAGAGCUGAGACGGCAUAUAAUCUUAUGAAGCUAACAUGUUUGACAUAUUUUCUACUAGAAAGUAACUUAUUAGAUGAUACCCACAUGGAAACUAAGAGACAUUGAAAAGAAUCCAGCAACAAAAGUCGUUUUUGAAAAGAAAAGAAAAAUAAACGAGACCUUACCAGUGUUGAGGUUAGCUUUGAAAGCUUAGGAUUCAGUUUCGCAAAGUUUAUAGAGUUGCUGAAAACUAAAACCCUCAAACCCCUCAGAUAGGGUGUCAGA